GAUGAACGCUGGCGGCGUGCUUAACACAUGCAAGUCGAACGGAAAGGCUCCUGCUUGCAGGGGUACUCGAGUGGCGAACGGGUGAGUAACACGUGGGUGAUCUGCCCUGCACUUCGGGAUAAGCCUGGGAAACUGGGUCUAAUACCGGAUAGGACGAUGGUUUGGAUGCCAUUGUGGAAAGUUUUUUCGGUGUGGGAUGAGCUCGCGGCCUAUCAGCUUGUUGGUGGGGUAAUGGCCUACCAAGGCGUCGACGGGUAGCCGGCCUGAGAGGGUGUACGGCCACAUUGGGACUGAGAUACGGCCCAGACUCCUACGGGAGGCAGAAGUGGGGAAUAGUGCACAAUGGGCGCAAGCCUGAUGCAGAGACGCAGCGUGGGGGAUGACGGCCUUCGGGUUGGAAACUCCUUUCGCUAGGGACGAAGGGAAAGUGACGGUACCUGGAGAAGAAGCACCGGCUAACUACGUG
rnacentral:rRNA from 1 species